UCUCUAGUGCCCUUCAGCUGUGGUCAUGGGGAUGGCACACUGUCUCCUUGUACAGCAGUGCCUGUUUGUUCAAGUCUUGCCACCCACCUGUACCUCUAGCAUGAGGUGGCACUGAGAGCUUCAGCCUGGCCCACUCACUCCCCACACAUGGGCCUCUCCCAUGUACAUUAAUUAAUUUUGCCACCAGGAUUUUGCUGGGACUUUAUGCCUGACUGAUUCCACCACUCCUAGUGUUUUUUUUUUCCCCUUCUUUUUUUCUUUCCCUUAGAUAAAAGGUAGAAGACAAAGAGACAGAGAAAGAAGAACAGAUAUCACAGCACUGCUGUACUGCUCAUUAAGCUUUCCCUUUGCAAGGUGCUUCCUUGUGGUGACGUGGGGGAUGGAACAAGGGUCAAGUGUACUCUCUGCUGGGUGAGCUAUCUCCCAGGCCCUCAGACUGCCUCUUUAAAAUGAACAGGUCCUGCUGUCCAGUACAAACUCCUCUCCAUGGCCUUGGAGCUGGAUUGGACCCUCUUCUAGAAAGCCCUCCUCUGCAGAUGAGAGAGAGAAUAAGAAAACAGAGGGGGGGAGAGACAGCAUAACACUGCCUCCCUUGGUGCCAUCCGUGGCACUCCCAGGUGCUGCCAGGGCUUGAAUCCAGGGUUUCGAGCAUGACAGGUCAUGAGCUCUACCUGGUAAGUUAUCUCCUGGCCCUUGUGUCCAAGUUUUAUAUCAAGGCUGAUUUCCUUCU